rnacentral:rRNA from 1 species
GACGAACGCUGGCGGCGUGCCUAAUACAUGCAAGUAGAACGCACAGUUUAUACCGUAGCUUGCUACACCAUAAACUGUGAGUUGCGAACGGGUGAGUAACGCGUAGGUAACCUGCCUGGUAGCGGGGGAUAACUAUUGGAAACGAUAGCUAAUACCGCAUAAUAUUAAUUAUUGCAUGAUAAUUGAUUGAAAGAUGCAAUUGCAUCACUACCAGAUGGACCUGCGUUGUAUUAGCUAGUAGGUGAGGUAACGGCUCACCUAGGCGACGAUACAUAGCCGACCUGAGAGGGUGAUCGGCCACACUGGGACUGAGACACGGCCCAGACUCCUACGAGAGGCAGCAGUAGGGAAUCUUCGGCAAUGGACGAAAGUCUGACCGAGCAACGCCGCGUAAGUGAAGAAGGUUUUCGGAUCGUAAAGCUCUGUUGUAAGAGAAGAACGGGUGUGAGAGUGGAAAGUUCACACUGUGACGGUAUCUUACCAGAAAGGGACGGCUAACUACGUG